ANAGUUUGAUCCUGGCUCAAAUUGAACGCUGGCGGCAGGCCUAACACAUGCAAGUCGAGCGGUAACAGAUCCAGCUUGCUGGAUGCUGACNAGCGGCGGACGGGUGAGUAAUGCAUAGGAAUUUACCCGAUAGUGGGGGAUAACCUGGGGAAACUCAGGCUAAUACCGCAUACGUCCUACGGGAGAAAGGGGGCUUUGGCUCCCGCUAUCGGAUGAGCCUAUGCCGGAUUANCUGGUUGGUGAGGUAAUGGCUCACCAAGGCGACGAUCCGUAGCUGGUCUGAGAGGAUGAUCAGCCACAUCGGGACUGANACACGGCCCGAACUCCUACGGGAGGCAGCAGUGGGGAAUAUUGGACAAUGGGGGCAACCCUGAUCCAGCCAUGCCGCGUGUGUGAANAAGGCCCUCGGGUUGUAAAGCACUUUCAGCGAGGAANAACGCCUGGCGGUUAAUACCCGCCAGGAAAGACAUCACUCGCAAAANAAGCACCGGCUAACUCCGUGCCAGCAGCCGCGGUAAUACGGAGGGUGCAAGCGUUAAUCGGAAUUACUGGGCGUAAAGCGCGCGUAGGUGGCUUGAUAAGCCGGUUGUGAAAGCCCCGGGCUCAACCUGGGAACGGCAUCCGGAACUGUCAGGCUANAGUGCAGGANAGGAAGGUANAAUUCCCGGUGUAGCGGUGAAAUGCGUAAAGAUCGGGAGGAAUACCAGUGGCGAAGGCGGCCUUCUGGACUGACACUGACACUGAGGUGCGAAAGCGUGGGUAGCAAACAGGAUUANAUACCCUGGUAGUCCACGCCGUAAACGAUGUCCACCANCCGUUGGGUGCCUA
rnacentral:rRNA from 1 species